AGAGUUUGAUCAUGGCUCAGAUUGAACGCUGCGGCAUGCCUAACACAUGCAAGUCGAACGGAAACGAAGGGAGCUUGCUCCCAGGCGUCGAGUGCGGACGGGUGAGUAAUGCUUGGGAAUCUACCCAGUAGCGGGGGACAACUCGGGGAAACUCGAGCUAAUACCGCAUACGCCCUACGGGGGAAAGCGGGGGAUCUUCGGACCUCGCACUAUUGGAUGAGCCCAAGUCGGAUUAGCUUGUUGGUGGGGUAAAGGCCUACCAAGGCGACGAUCCGUAGCUGGUCUGAGAGGACGAUCAGCCACACCGGAACUGAGACACGGUCCGGACUCCUACGGGAGGCAGCAGUGGGGAAUAUUGGACAAUGGGGGCAACCCUGAUCCAGCAAUGCCGCGUGUGUGAAGAAGGCCUGCGGGUUGUAAAGCACUUUCAGUAGAGAAGAAAAGCAGAGGGCUAAUACCCCUAUGUCUUGACGUUACCUACAGAAGAAGCACCGGCUAACUCCGUGCCAGCAGCCGCGGUAAUACGGAGGGUGCGAGCGUUAAUCGGAAUUACUGGGCGUAAAGCGCGCGUAGGCGGUUUAGUAAGUCGGAUGUGAAAGCCUGGGCUUAACCUGGGAAUGCAUU
rnacentral:rRNA from 1 species